rnacentral:rRNA from 1 species
GACAGAGGAGCCAAGCGUUGUCCGGAUUGACUGGGCGUAAAGCGCACGCAGGCGGAUGCGCGCGUGGGGUGUGAAAUCUGGCCGCUUAACGGCCAGGCGCCAUCCCAUACGGCGCGUCUGGAGUGAUGCAGAGGUCGAUGGAAUUGCCGGUGUAGUGGUGAAAUGCGUAGAGAUCGGAAAGAACACCAGUGGCGAAGGCGGCGGCCUGGCUCCAGACUGACACUGAGGUGCGAAAGCGUGGGGAGCAAACAGG